rnacentral:lncRNA from 1 species
CGGCGGUGCUGGAUCAGGAAGGCCUCGGAGUUGAAGGGAUGUGCCUGCGGUGGCUGGCGGUCCGGGGUCCUAGGAGCCAGCCCCUCCUGAAGGCCUCUGCCCCUAGUUUCUCCCCAAGGGGAGAAGUUGAGCCCCAGAGAGGUUCAUAAUGAGCCUGGAGUGACCUCUGUCUGAAUCAAGACCAACAUUCUGCAGUGGCUGCUGGAAUGUGCUAUGCAAGGCCUUGAAGCACGUCAGGAGGACCUGAAGGGAAUAUAUCUAAGAAACCCUGGGCUCCAGGAUCCAGAAGCUCAUUCCAGUUCUGACCUCACAAGAGUUCACGACCUCUCCCAACCCUUCCCCUCCAGGAGCACUUUGUCUCUGUGGCCCUCAACUGAAUAGAUUGUGGCACAUCACAGAUUAUACUGCGGAAUAUUACGUAACCACAAAAAAGUAUGUAUUGGAGAACUGCCAGCAGACUUAGAAGGAAUUCCAUGGGUUUUAUUGGAUGAGAAAAGAUACAGAAGGGUAUGUAUAAUAUAAUCAAUCCCCUUUUAAUAAAAUAAUUACAAAGAGCA